CUCUCCCCUCUGCCUUGCAGAUCCUCUGUGCUGGCUGCCAUGCCUACCCGAACCUGUGCCAGCACCUGGGAAGGAGCCAGCCACUGUGGGGUUCCCUCAUGCAGCUCUUGAAGGGUGAGGUCCCUGUGGUAGAGGUGACCCAGGAGGCAGCCUGUGAAGCCUCUCUGUACCUGCUGGCCCUGCUCACCCUGCAGCUUCAGGCAUCCCCUCCCAGGUGUGAGGAGAUGGUUGCCCUGGCUGUGGAUCUCAUCACCCAGUCUCCUGUUGUGUCCCUUGUGGGUGCUGCAGCAUUUCUCCUGGCACAGCUCAGUCAGCAUGGGGUGGCUUUGGAGCUCAAGAGAGAAAAGAUCCUACCAGUGGUAGCAAAUGCGCUGACUGCACCUGCUGAGGUAUGGGAUGGGGAGACAGAAGCUGGGGACCCAUGCAUCCCCCACUGUAGAGGUGUGCAA
rnacentral:lncRNA from 1 species